CAGGCCUAACACAUGCAAGUCGAGCGGAAACGGCGGUAUUGAAGCUUCGGUGGAUUUACUGGACGUCGAGCGGCGGACGGGUGAGUAACGGCUGGGAACCUGCCCUGACGAGGGGGAUAACCGUUGGAAACGACGGCUAAUACCGCAUAAUGUCUUGAUUCGUUAGAGUCAGGACCAAAGGUGGCCUCUACAUGUAAGCUAUCGCGUUGGGAUGGGCCCAGUUAGGAUUAGCUAGUUGGUAAGGUAAUGGCUUACCAAGGCAACGAUCCUUAGCUGGUUUGAGAGGAUGAUCAGCCACACUGGGACUGAGACACGGCCCAGACUCCUACGGGAGGCAGCAGUGGGGAAUAUUGCACAAUGGGGGAGACCCUGAUGCAGCCAUGCCGCGUGUGUGAAGAAGGCCUUCGGGUUGUAAAGCACUUUCAGCAGUGAGGAAGGUCGUGUACUUAAUACGUGCACGGCUUGACGUUAGCUGCAGAAGAAGCACCGGCUAACUCCGUGCCAGCAGCCGCGGUAAUACGGAGGGUGCGAGCGUUAAUCGGAAUUACUGGGCGUAAAGCGCAUGCAGGCGGUUUGUUAAGUCAGAUGUGAAAGCCCGGGGCUCAACCUCGGAACCGCAUUUGAAACUGGCAGGCUAGAGUCUUGUAGA
rnacentral:rRNA from 1 species